UCAAACGGCCAUAGGGACAGGGAAACGCCCGAACCCAUUCCGAACUCGGAAGCUAAGCCUGUUCACGACAUGAAAUACUGCCUUCGGGUGGGAACGCAUGUUGCCGUCUGGC
rnacentral:rRNA from 1 species